CCUACGGGGGGCUGCAGUGGGGAAUAUUGGACAAUGGGCGAAAGCCUGAUCCAGCCAUGCCGCGUGUGUGAAGAAGGCCUUCGGGUUGUAAAGCACUUUCAGUGGGGAAGAAAGCCUUGGGGCUAAUACCCUCGAGGAAGGACAUCACCCACAGAAGAAGCACCGGCUAACUCCGUGCCAGCAGCCGCGGUAAUACGGAGGGUGCGAGCGUUAAUCGGAAUUACUGGGCGUAAAGCGCGCGUAGGCGGGCUGAUAAGCCAGUUGUGAAAGCCCCGGGCUCAACCUGGGAACGGCAUCCGGAACUGUCAGGCUAGAGUGCAGGAGAGGAAGGUAGAAUUCCCGGUGUAGCGGUGAAAUGCGUAGAGAUCGGGAGGAAUACCAGUGGCGAAGGCGGCCUUCUGGACUGACACUGACGCUGAGGUGCGAAAGCGUGGGUAGCAAACAGGAUUAGAUACCCGAGUAGUC
rnacentral:rRNA from 1 species